UGGCCCAGAUCGUUUACCGUGAAAAAAUUAGAGUGUUCAAAGCAGGCAGAUCCAAUUUUCUGCCACCGAAUACAUUAGCAUGGGAUAAUGGAAUAGGACCCUGUCCUCCUAUUUUCAGUUGGUUUUGGCAGCGCGAGGACUAGGGUAAUGAUUAAUAGGGAUAGUUGGGGGCAUUAAUAUUUAAUUGUCAGAGGUGAAAUUCUUGGAUUUAUGAAAGAUUAACUUCUGCGAAAGCAUCUGCCAAGGAUGUUUUCAUUAAUCAAGAACGAAAGUUAGGGGAUCGAAGACGAUCAGAUACCGUCGUAGUCUUAACCAUAAACGAUGCCGACCAGCGAUUAGGAGACGUUGAAUACAAAACACCACCAUCGGCGCGGUCGUCCUUGGCGUCUCGGUUUCGGCCGGGGCGCGGGGAUGGCUAGCCCGGGACCCCMG
rnacentral:rRNA from 1 species